rnacentral:rRNA from 1 species
UACGUAGGGGGCUAGCGUUGUCCGGAUUUAUUGGGCGUAAAGAGCGUGUAGGCGGCCAGGUAGGUCUGCUGUGAAAACUCGAGGCUCAACCUCGAGACGUCGGCGGAAACCAUCUGGCUAGAGUGCGGCAGAGGAGACUGGAAUUCCUGGUGUAGCAGUGAAAUGCGCAGAUAUCAGGAGGAACACCGAUGGCGAAGGCAGGUCUCUGGGCCACUACUGACGCUGAGAAGCGAAAGCAUGGGGAGCGAACAGG